UCGGACGUCGUGCACGGCGCACACCAGCUUCAUUUGAAGGCGGGCAAAAAAUCACUGUGAUGCUGGAGGACUGGGUUCGACUCCCAGCGUCUGAA